AAUCCUCACUUCCAGGGGCAGGGCUGAGCUGCAUCACCAAGGGAACUUUUGGAUGCUCCUGCGUUUGCUUGCUCAGUUUGCCUCUGUGGAGCUAUGAGACAGACAAGCAGUGCACCAAAAUGAUGGAGAAUUUCAAUUAUAAUAAGGGACUCCUUGCAGUCUUCCUGAUGUAAACUGCACCAGUAAAGCAUAAAAGCAGGGUAUGAAAGGAAAAGUUAAUCCUGGGAUCUUCAAAGCAAAACCCAGUGACUUCAGUCAAAAUUAUUUGGACAUGGAAAAAAUCCUGAUAACUACUGUCACACACACAGAGUGACACAUGGACAUGUCCACUUACUUUGACUUUUGGGAAGUGGCAGAGGAGGAGGAAAUGCAAGUACCAGAUCAAAAGAGCAAGAGUUUUCAAGUUGUCAGCAUGACUGUGUCCCCCCGCAGGAAAUCCUCUGAGAUUCACAGUUGUGUUUAGGAGCAUGGAAUAGGUGGUGGACAGCCCAAAGAUCCAGACACCACCUUAUGUUUCUAACCCUUUCUUGUAAUAUUAUCUCUUCUCAGUCUUUACCAUUUUGGACAGGUUUCUCAGAGGCUCAUCCUGUCUUAUUUUUAAUGAAUAAAAAAAGGGGUUAAUUUUCCUAUGCAGUGGGGCAGCAUAUAAGAGAAAGAACCAAGAUGCUCUCACCUCUCAGCAUCUCUCUUGUGCCUGCAGUCCCUGUCUCCCAAGCCCAGAUGAUCCCUCCAAGCCUGAGGAUUGUUGGAUUCCAAAAUUUGGAUAUGAGAAAAAGAAAAUUUCUAGGUUUAAACAAAACCCUUGGGCUAACAGACACUGAGGAAAAAUCUCCAUCUAGAGUCCAGACAAGGAUCCAUUGAUGUUACGGGUUUGGAAUGUCCUGCUCAAGCCGCAGAAUCCUGCCCUGAUUUCAUCAAGCCAGUGCAGAAGACUUAUUGUGUUUUUUCUCUCCCUUUGUGUUCCCUGGAUCCUGUGCAUUCUGCAAACAUGAAUACCUCUUUCCCCCAUGUAAUCCCCCUAAGAUAAGAUGUUUUUUUCCCUAUGAUGUAAUUGUAAGACCCCAAAUUUGUAAACCUGGGUUUUUCCCUUAUGUCGUCCCCUGAAACCCCCAGUUUUUAAUAAAUUGUAAUAGUUACAACCCCCUGUUGAAUAUGUGGACCCUAAACCCUUUAAAUAUGAACUUGUAAGUCCAAUAAAGCAUUCUAGUUU